ensembl:snoRNA small nucleolar RNA snR60/Z15/Z230/Z193/J17
UGCAUACAAUGAUGACUCCAUAGUUCAGCAGAUGACCUGUGAUGAACAGACACUGUCUUUCGCUCCUAGCUGAUGUAUUGC